rnacentral:rRNA from 1 species
AGCAGUGGGGAAUAUUGGACAAUGGGGGCAACCCUGAUCCAGCCAUGCCGCGUGUGUGAAGAAGGCCUUAGGGUUGUAAAACACUUUCAGUGGUGAGGAAGGGUGCGUAGUUAAUACCUACGUACUUUGACGUUAGCCACAGAAGAAGCACCGGCUAACUCUGUGCCAGCAGCCGCGGUAAUACAGAGGGUGCAAGCGUUAAUCGGAAUUACUGGGCGUAAAGCGCGCGUAGGUGGUUUGUUAAGUCGGAUGUGAAAUCCCCGGGCUCAACCUGGGCAUUGCACCCGAUACUGGCAGGCUAGAGUACGAGAGAGGGAUGUGGAAUUUCCUGUGUAGCGGUGAAAUGCGUAGAUAUAGGAAGGAACACCAGUGGCGAAAGCGGC